rnacentral:lncRNA from 1 species
CAAGUAGCGCUGCGCUCGAGGCUACUGUAGCGGGCCCAGGCAACAGACACUUUACGGGACAGAGGCAAAUGGCGCUCCAGGCGAGAAUGACUAAACCCAGGAUGAAAAACAAAGGGAAUUAAACCGCUACAACCAGAAUAAAUCUCCAGAGCCAAAACAGCUCAGAGAGUGGUGGCGGUUGCGGGCAAAACCAUUCCACCAGGCUGAUUAAAAAUCACCAAAUAAGAAGAGAAACAAGACAGACAACGUGCAGCUACGUACCAGCACAAAGCAAGUGUUCUUACACCGCAGGGUUACAGCGAGUCACCCACCCUGUCCCCAACGUUUGCAGUCGGCCAUGCUUCAAGGAGCGAAAAUGUACCAGCAAUAAAAAAUAAAAAAAAAAGACAGCUGAGCACGCACAGAUGAGGGGAGAAGCAGAAACGCCAGGUUGUGGUAUGAGCCUACUUGUCCACAGCGCCAAACCAGCUGGCUAUCGUAGCCACCAUGCCACCACGCCAAGCCACAGCCACCACCGAGGAGCAAGGGAGAGGCGAAAGAGUGGAAGUGCCAUUAACGCUCACCUGGAUAUAAAGGUGCGCAUGGUACCGCCCAACAAUUUUUUUAGAGGUUUAGACCCACUGCACUCAACUGACUGCCCAGACCUGUUGUCUACAUCUGCUGGUGACUUUAAUCCAACCAACACAUCAUGAAGGUUAUUUUAACCCGCCAUCAGACUGGAUACCCUGUUACAGGAUAAGUUGACCAUAGGAGUGGGGUAAGUUAAGCCUCAACUUACCCCUGGCCAAAGGGCUCAACUUACCCCAGAACUACUAUUAUGACUUUAUUAGUCCUCUUAGCUAAAAUGGUGGACUUUUAUGCUAGGUUUUUGACCUCAUGUUGUGGCUCAUAGAUACCACAAUUCAUGUAUGAAAGUUUAAAAUGAUAUUUUUUGGUCUGAACACAAUUCUAAUAAAACAUGACAGACUAAAUUCACUUCCAAGAGUGAAAAAUGUAUUUUGGAAAUAAAUGUCUAACCCCUUCACCCAUGUGUUUCUAACCUUCACAGACUCCAUGAAUUGAUGCCCAUCUCCUAAAUAUUUGGUCACUAGAUCAAUUUCUUUUACUAUUUCAAAGCAACUCGGGGUGGCUCAACUUACCCUUUGGCUCAACUUUCGCUCUCCCCUACGCAUGAUGGUGGCUGCAGCAGUGUGCCAGAUCUGUGGCAAAGCUAUAGCUAAAUUAUAGCAUUUUUAACCUUAAUAUAGU